AGGUGGCACGCGAGCCUUGACGUGACAACUGGAACCAGCAGCGGCAGGGCAGGUGAAGGGCCGAGGUGCCGCAGAUGGCCGCGGAGGGGCCGAGCCGCACGCAGACCGACAGUGUGAGAAGGUGCUUUGGGAGCCGCCUUUGGGAUCGGAUGAGCGUUUGAAGCGAGCCGGGGUAGUCGCAAGGAGGAUCGUGGGUGACUCGUUGGAAGCGCAAGGGUAACUUUGUCUCUCGGUAUCUUAGGUAACGCCAGCGACGACGGCUGCAGCAUCUGACUCUGCAAAGAGCCGGUGAAGAGGAAGGCGGCAACUGCAGGAAUGUGCUAGUUAGCCGCCGCGCUGCUUUCGUCGAGGACG